GGGGGGGUGGGGGGGGUUCUGAUUCUCAGGUCAACUUUCCUCUUGUUUCAUCAAUUGAACACAUUUGAAUCAUAUUUUCUCUGAUUGGCAGGAGAGUAUUUGGUGACUGGGGAAGCAAGGGGGACAGUCACUGAAUACCACAUAAAAUGAGAAAGGCUCAAAUACCCACCAUUUGCUUCAAAGUGGAUGGAACUGGAAGGUAUUAUGCUGAGUGAAGUAGACUUUUUUUCCCCUGGCACCAGGGAAUAUGGCAUCAAAAGCCCUGUUGGCAAACCCAAGACAAAGAGGGAACUUUUUUCUCCACCGUCCAUACAGCAAACCUUGGAAAAGGAUCUGAUUGGCUGUGCCAGAGCCUUAUACCUAUCUCUAUAUUCAGAAGGGCAUGCUCUGUAAUAAUUUGCUCAGAUCAAAGGCAACACAUUUUGGGGGAUGAUAGUAGAGAAUGCUCAACAGACAAAAUAAAUAAACCUAACUCCACUACCAGUUAUAAA